rnacentral:lncRNA from 1 species
CCCUGGGGCUUGGGUUGAGUCUCAGAGGAUGAAUGGGAGUUGGCAAGCAAAAUUGACGGAAGGGUGGGGAAGAGUUCUGUGGUUGGGUGAAUAGGAGGGACUACGUCACAAGAGACGUGAAAUGAUAUUAUGCUGGCAAAUAAAUACACAAGGAAAGUCUGAGGCAGACUAUGGAGGAAGAUGAGCUGGGAGAGAAAGACAUGAAGCGGGGUUCUUAUUCUGCACAAGGAACUUUGCAAGAGAUGGAUAAUAGCUGGGUCACCUCCGGUCACCAGGCAUCCCUCUGGUCAGUCCCAUUGUCUGCUCUGUGAACAUCCCCAAUGGUCGAUGCAUCAACUUCAAAAUAUUCG